AACCAAAUCUGGCAAUAAAAUGUAAAAGGUCAUUUUAAUGAAUUCUAAAAUGCAGUGUGUGAUAGGAGCUAAUCAUAAAUUCAUUAGAAAGUAUAGGAAAAUCCAAUGAUUUCCAACAGGUUGUUAUAGCCAUCCAAAUAUACACAAAAUUCCUAUAAAUUCUAGCUGUGUACCGUUGAUAUACAUCUGAAAGGAAACAGUUAACUCAUUUGUUCAUUGUUCUUGAUUGCAGCUCGAUUGGGACAUUUCGGUUAAAAAUCUCCGAACAUCAACGCCAAUUCAUGAACAUAGAACAAUCGCAUGAAAUGAAAAAAAAAACCUUCCUCGAUUUUUGUUUCCUUCGACGAAAUUAUCUGCAGCUGUUGAACAAAAUUUUGCCCCUUUUAGAGAUGGUAUUCAACAACGGAAAAAGACCAUUAUCGGAUUUCAUAAUGCUGCGCAGAAAUGAACCGGUUCGGAAGUAUUUUAAUAUUUUAAGUUCCAUGAAUGUUCAGAAAAAACAACUAGUAGUUUCCUGAACCAUCGCCUCAGCUAAAAUAAACUUUUCGGAACAAAAUUUCAUGACCAGUAACAUAAUAUUAUCUUCAACGGAUUUGCUCUGUGAUUUUGGAUUCUGACUUUUUGAUAUUUUUCAACUGAAAGUUGUAGCUGAAAUUAUAAAAAUGAUGUCAGUGUCAUGGAAAUGAACAGACGAGUAUUGAGUUAUGAUAUGCAAAGGAUGGUAUAGGACCAAUCACAACAAACGAAUGCACGCAAUACAGCCAAAAUAAUUGGGCCACAACACCUUAAAAAUGUAAUUAACUGGCUGGUCGGAGACGAAGAAUGACUACCGGAACCAGAAUAACCAAAUUACGAAGUUGAUAGUUUUAACUAAACCGUGACAAACUCCAAAAGGCGCAGGAUGAUGGAACUAGCAUAUGGGCUCAAAUGUCUCAGACUAUUCAUAAGUUGAAAGUCUCGCAAACUUCCUUAUGGUAGAGGGCAAGCCAGAACAUCCGCCCAUCAAGGACAAAUACAACAAGGGAUGCUGACUCAUAGGCCAAACGGUAUCUGAACUCGGUCAUCGGAAAUGUCUACCGCAUCUGCUACUGGUAAAACUAUUUUUCGUUCAUUCGUCUCGCAUCACUCGUCGUGUGCAGUCGCUUUUUGUUGCCUUUCGAUAAUCGCGAACAAGUGAGUGAGACUUCGUCCACUAUAUCCGGGAGUUAGUGCCGUUCGGACGGUUAAAGGGUGUUUUGUGCCGUGUUUCCUGCCAGAGGCAGAUGAAAUUGACUUUCCCCAGCUAAUCGGGAGUUCAAUUAAUGACUGUUGCUAGUGAGUGCUAAUUUUGUGGCUAGCAAAGGCAAUCGGAAAAAAACAAUAGGUCACCACGAGGGCCGCCGCCAUUGUUUGGCGAACCAUUGUCAUCAUCAUCAUUGUCAUCAUCAAACGGGUCGUGCUCGCCCGAAACCGAGUGGAGGCGUGGCAGCCAUCUUCGAUCGAGGAAGGACCACGUGGUUGGAUCAAUCACCAAAGGAGCCAAAUUAAUCGAAA